CCGGCAUUUCGGCCGUCUCUUUUCACUGGAUGCGCAUCCGAUUGUCUGUCGGAAUUGCCUCAAAUUGCUUUUUCCGACCGAUUCCAUAAUGAAGCAGGCCCUCUUCGCUGCUGGAAUAUUACUGUUUGCUUGUUGCGCCGUCAUUUUUCCGACUGUUGCAACAAUCCAAACACAGGUGGGACAUUCGCACGAUGGCCCACACCCUGUAUAUUAAUCGGUAGUCGAUAGAGCGGCGUGACAAUGCCGAAUUUGAUAAAUAAGGGAAAUUGGGUAGCAAGACGCAAACAAAAAGACUAUUUUAUAUUAUUUGCCCGGUAGAGUAUUAUUUAUUUAGCGAUGAUCGAUUUCAAAUUUGUAACUUGUUUGUGUUGAACACAAGAGUUUUUCUAACUCGGAUGAUUAGAUGCGACAUUGACAACAAUAACCCACAUAUCUCUGACGGGUCAUUAGGCAGGAUUUUUUCACGCAAUUUAUCUAAGCAUAAUGAAGGACUCCUCCGGCUUAUUGUACCACUUCCUGCAGACGAAACGAGUUGACAGAAAUGAAGGUGUCCCUUUUUUCCAUAUUUGUUAUUUUCCUGACAAUCAAUGUGCUACAUUCUGAUGCCUGCUGUGGCAGUUGUUCAACAUCAAGUUGUUCCAAUUGUUGUUCCACGUGCCAAAAUCAAUGUACAACGAUCCCAUGUUACCAGUCCUGUCAGCAAAACUGUUGUCAACACCAGUCCAGCUCUUGCUGUGGCAGUUGCUCAUCAUCGAGUUGUUCCAAUUGUUGUUCCUCCUGCCAACAACAGUGCAACACUGCGCCGUGCGUUGCCAACUGUCAACAAAAUUGUUGCCAACACGAAACGUCCAACUGUUGUCACAGCCAUAGACGCGAUUGUUGUCCCAAAGAAACAGAAAUUGAAAUAAGAGAACGAGAACGGGAGUCGGAAACUUCCUCGCGAGAUGAACAAGUCCACGUUAACGUUGAUUCCAAAAACGUGAUCAACAACCAGAACAUUAUCAACAUGACCAUCAACGUUGACAGUAACGUUAUCAAUAAUAUUUCAAACGAGGAGAAAAGUCAAUGGUCUGGUAACGGCACCAGUAUUGUCACCGUUCCGCAACCGUGUCCCACGACACAAAGACCAAUAACCAUGCCUCCAGGACAUCCACCAGUUCAUGACUGUCAUCAACCACCGCCAGUAAUAGUCGUACCGCCACCACCGCCACCCCCACCCCCACCACAACCCUGCUGUGUUGUUAUCAUCCCUUGUGCUCAUCAAGGGUGCAACCCUUAUCAUACGCGCUGUGGGGGGUGUCACAGCAGAUAUGGUUAUCUCCCAGUGAAUCCCUGUGGUGGCGGAGGAUGUCAUAAAGUGCAAACGUCCGAGUGUGGGUCAUGUGGACAUGAUUAUUACCAAACGUACCAUGGAUACUCUCAAUGUCAUGGUUGUUUCUACCAAUAAUCAUUUUUUCUUUAUAUUUUUUCUAAGUUGUAACAAUAAUUAAUAAUGUUUUAAAAUAAAUUGCUUAAUCUGA